rnacentral:rRNA from 1 species
AGCAGCCGCGGUAAUUCCAGCUCCAAUAGCGUAUAUUAAAGUUGUUGCAGUUAAAAAGCUCGUAGUUGAAUUUCGGGAUCAAUAUGUUGGUCGUGCCUCGGUACGUACUGGCGUCAUUGGUUUCUACCUUCUGAAGAACCUCGAUGUCAUUAAUUUGGUGUCUUGGGGAAUCAGGACUGUUACUUUGAAAAAAUUAGAGUGUUUAAAGCAGGCUCACGCUUGAAUACAUUAGCAUGGAAUAAUGAAAUAGGACGUUUGAUUCUAUUUUGUUGGUUUCUAGGAUCGACGUAAUGAUUAAUAGGGAUAGUUGGGGGCAUUAGUAUUCAAUUGUCAGAGGUGAAAUUCUUGGAUUUAUUGAAGACUAACUACUGCGAAAGCAUUUGCCAAGGAUGUUUUCAUUAAUCAAGAACGAAAGUUAGAGGUUCGAAGGCGAUCAGAUACCGCCCUAGUUCUAACCAUAAACGAUGCCAACCAGCAAUCGGCCAGAGUUGCUAACAAUGACUGGCCGGCGGUCG